GUCUCUUUGUAGUAUGUAAAUAAAGAGUUGGGCCUGCUCGGUGAAUAAUUUUUAACAGCUGCGGUAUUUUAACUGUACUAAGGUAGCAUAAUAAUUUGCCUUAUAAUUUGAGGCUAGAAUGAAUGGUUUGACGAAGGUUAAACUGYCUCCAUCUUAUUUUUUAGAAUUUAAUUUUUAUAGUGAAAAAGCUUAAAUUUUUUAAAGGGACGAGAAGACCCUAAUGAGCUUAUAAUUUUAUUAUUAUGAUUUGAUAUAUUUGAAUGAUAAUAUAUAAAUUUUAAUUGGGGUGAUUAAGGAAUAAGGUUUUAUAUUAAUAACUUCCUUAAAUUAAAUAUAUAUGUAUUAAGUAACCAAUAAAUAUAUUGCUUAUAAUAUAGUUACCAUAGGGAUAACAGSGUAAUUUGUUUAGAGAGUUCUUAUUGAAAAACAAGAUUGCGACCUCGAUGUUGGAUUAAAGUAACCUUAAGGUGCAGAAGCUUUAUUAGGUAAAUCUGUUCGAUUUUUAAUAC
rnacentral:rRNA from 1 species